CCCUUAGAUGUUCUGGGCCGCACGCGCGCUACACUGAAGCGUUCAACGAGUAUUCACCUUGCCCGGGAGGGUUGGGUAAUCUUUUCAAAACGCUUCGUGAUGGGGAUAGAUUAUUGCAAUUAUUAAUCUUCAACGAGGAAUUCCUAGUAAGCGCGAGUCAUCAGCUCGUGCUGAUUACGUCCCUGCCCUUUGUACACACCGCCCGUCGCUCCUACCGAUUGAAUGUUCCGAUGAAUACCAUGGACUGAGAGUAUGAAUGGGUUCGCCUAUUUCUGCUUCUCGGGAAGUGGAGUAAAUCUUAACAUUUAGAGGAAGGAGAAGUCGUAACA
rnacentral:rRNA from 1 species